rnacentral:rRNA from 1 species
AUGCCAUUGUUUAUUUGUUUGUCUACUUUUCCUCCCAUUGUUGUGAAAGUAAACAUGGAGUUGUACAAUCUGAUAUUUUGCAAGCAGUUUUUUACCUCUUUCCAUUGUCUUUCCUUAGCAAUUUCACAAGGUAAGUCGGGGGAUCUCUUAAUGGUGGCAAAUCAACUUUGCCAUGUUGGCAGCAUAGUCCAAAAGAUGGCAUGCUUUUCGCUCUACCUGAAGUUCUUUCUUUGUACCAGAAAAUUGCACCGCAUUGUUAACACUUGCAUUUUGGUUUUUCGAAGUUCCAAAUUUCCACAUCAGUCCUCUCCGAUUCCCUGUUCAAGUUUAUGUAUUUAG